CAUUUUUGAAACUGGGGAUAAAACGAAAAUUCCGAUUCGAACUUGGGGAUUAAAAAGGUAUUUUAACCUAAAAAAUAAAUGAUAAUAAUAUUAAUAUUAUUGUGAAUAAUAAAACAAGUAAAAUAAAAUGACAAAAAAAACUGUUAGAAAUAAAAAAUAAUUACAUAUUAACACCAAAGUACAUUCACACAAAAUAAUAAUAUUUUUUGCUUAGAAAAAUCAUUGGCUAAAAU
rnacentral:lncRNA from 1 species